rnacentral:rRNA from 1 species
GACGAACGCUGGCGGCGUGCUUAACACAUGCAAGUCGAACGAUGAAGCAAUGAAUCGCAGCUUCGGCAGAAAUUCAUUUCGGAUUAGUGGCAGACGGGUGAGUAACGCGUGAGCAACCUACCUCUUACAAAGGGAUAGCCUCGGGAAACCGGGAUUAAUACCAUAUAACAUUGUGACGAAGCAUUUCGAUGCAAUCAAAGCUACGGCGGUAAGAGAUGGGCUCGCGUCCCAUUAACCGGAUGGUGAGGUAACGGCUCACCAUAGUGACGAUGGGUAACCGGCCUGAGAGGGUGAACGGUCACACUGGAACUGAGACACGGUCCAGACUCCUACGGGAGGCAGCAGUGGGGAAUAUUGCACAAUGGAGGGAACUCUGAUGCAGCGACGCCGCGUGAGUGAUGAAGGAAUUCGUUUCGUAAAACUCUGUUCUAUGGGAAGAAAAGGACUGUACCAUAGGAGAAAGCGCCGGCUAAAUACGUG